rnacentral:lncRNA from 1 species
AUGAUAGAGCUUUGUAUGGGAACACAGACAAUAUGCAUGUCUGUAUGCAGCUUGGAGAACAGUAUGAAUGUAAUUUUCUCUGUAUGGCAUCCACAGGGGCCCUUGGACAUUUGGAUACAUAAAGAAGCUGUUUUUAUCUCCUUGGCCAAAAUGAUCAGUCCCUGGAAUAAGCAGGUAAAAAAGCAUGAUGUUCAGCGUGCUGUUAGUUUACCUUCACCACGUGAUAUUCAGUUUGCUUUUAAAAUGCUUACACUGUGGCUGCCCCUUUGGCUGCCUGUGCUGCUAGUGGUGAUGGGGAUGUUAGGGGGAGGGAAGCAGCUUGGCAGCAAGUCAGCGGUAGGCGGAUGAAGGUGGAGUCAGGGCACUGGCGUCAGUGAUCUCUUUUCCAUUUUGCCCUUCACUCACCUCCUCCUGGCUGCCUGCUGAGCUCCUUCUUCCUCUCCCUUCCCCCAUCCUCCACCACCUCCAGCACAACCUGGACAGCUUAAAAAAAAAAAAGAAAGGAAAUGACAGACGUAGUUAACAGCUUUAAUUCGUGACAGAAAACUGAAACAGCCUAGAUAGAGAAGUAACACGAGCAAGGUAAGAACCUUGCUUUUCAUUUGCACUCCCCAUGCUUAGUUAUUAUAGCCUAUCAAAUGGUCAUCCACUUGGUGCACAUAAGACAUAAUGUAGUGAUUAGUAUACAGAAACCUUAUGUACAGAUAGUGCAAUUAUACUGCUUCAGAGUUUCUCAGAUCUGUGGGCUUGUCCAUGUUCCAGAAAAAGGUUGCAUUUCCACUCCCUCCUUCCAGGGUUUCAGCCAGCACUAGCCACCAGCACAAUUCUUUGCAAGCUGGACUCCUUCAAGAUUUGUUGAACUGGUAGUAUCACUGUUAGUGUAGUCUUUGGUAACCUCAGUUACAUUGACAUCAAGUGUAAGGACUGCAUACAAGGCUAGAGAAAUGUCUAAUAAGGUACACAGCCACAGCCCCCAAUAUCAUGUCAACCUUUUGGGUCCCAAACCAUUUGCAAAGAAGCAGCAUUAGGAACAGAAGAAUGCUGCAAAGCGUUUGCUGCCAACCUCUAUUGUUUUCCUUUCUCUACCUCCAUUUUUUGGGAGGUACUACUGCCUGACUCACUAGUAUUUGCAAAAAAACAAAAAAACCUGAGGGAGUCCUACCAUUUCUAGGUUGUUCCAUGAGUGAGAAAAUCACUGGUAACUGUAGGAUGGCAAGUGGUUUUAUCCUACAGCUUCCAAAGAAAAAAAAAAGAUGCUUAUGUUCUUGUCCAAGAAGCUCUUCACCUGCUUUUGAAUCCUGCCACUCUGGAUCAGUUCCACAUACUCCAAUCAAACAGCACACCAGAC